GUCAAGAGAGCAGCAACUUCAUAUACAGUACGAAUUAUAGAAUUAGUUCGAUAAAUUAAUAAACAUGUUAAAUUAACAAAUUUUCCCGGUUCCAAAUUGAGCUGAUGUAAAAUAUGACAUAAUUCAAUAAAAUAAUAAGAUAAUAAUAUUCAGAAAAAUUCUUUGCUAAAUAUAUAUCCCAUUGAAAUCAUAAAUUAAUAAUUACGAUAUAUUUA
rnacentral:lncRNA from 1 species